GGAUCGACAGUUCGUUGGUGCUA
rnacentral:siRNA from 1 species